rnacentral:rRNA from 1 species
UACGUAGGUGGCAAGCGUUGUCCGGAUUUAUUGGGUUUAAAGGGUGCGUAGGCGGCUUUGUAAGUCAGUGGUGAAAUAUGUCAGCUCAACUGAGAGGGUGCCAUUGAUACUGCAGAGCUUGAGUACAGAUGAGGUAGGCGGAAUUGACGGUGUAGCGGUGAAAUGCUUAGAUAUCGUCAAGAACACCUAUAGCGAAGGCAGCUUACUAGGCUGUAACUGACGCUGAGGCACGAAAGUGUGGGGAUCAAACAGG